rnacentral:rRNA from 1 species
UAGCCUGCAAGUGAUAGCAGUGGUGUUAGUGGAACGGUCUGGAAAGUCCGGCGAUAGAGGGUGAUAGCCCCGUACACGAAAACACCGUUGUGGUACUGAGCUUGCGACAAGUAGGUCGGGACACGAGAUAUCUUGACUGAAGACGGGGGGACCAUCCUCCAAGGCUAAAUACUACUGACUGACCGAUAGUGAACCAGUACCGUGAGGGAAAGGCGAAAAGAACCCCGGAGAGGGGAGUGAAAUAGAACCUGAAACCGUAUACGUACAAGCAGUGGGAGCAGGCUUGUCCUGUGACUGCGUACCUUUUGUAUAAUGGGUCAGCGACUUAUUGUCUGUAGCAAGCUUAACCGUAUAGGGGAGGCGUAGGGAAACCGAGUCUUAAUAGGGCGUUUAGUUGCAGGCAAUAGACCCGAAACCGGGCGAUCUAUCCAUGGCCAGGCUGAAGGUUGGGUAACACUAACUGGAGGGCCGAACCCACAAAUGUUGAAAAAUUUGGGGAUGAGCUGUGGAUCGGAGUGAAAGGCUAAUCAAGCCCGGAGAUAGCUGGUUCUCCUCGAAAUCUAUUUAGGUAGAGCGUCGUGUCUUACCCUGGGGGGUAGAGCACUGUUUGGGCUAGGGGGUCAUCCCGACUUACCAACCCCAUGCAAACUCCGAAUACCCAGGAGUACAAUCACGGCAGACAGACGGCGGGUGCUAACGUCCGUCGUCGAGAGGGCAACAACCCAGACCGCCAGCUAAGGUCCCCAAUACCAGUUAAGUGGGAAACGAUGUGGGAAGGCUUAGACAGCUAGGAGGUUGGCUUAGAAGCAGCCACCCUUUAAAGAAAGCGUAAUAGCUCACUAGUCGAGUCGGCCUGCGCGGAAGAUGUAACGGGGCUAAACUGGUAACCGAAGCUGCGGAUGCGUGCAUUUCACUCAAACUCUUUCAGGUAGCUUGUCGACGGCGAAGCCGGCGACCAAGCGCCCCCGAACGUUGAGUCGGGAAGGAGGUUGGAGAAACUGCCAACCCUGGAGGAGAGGGUUUGAGGAAAUGCACGCAUGGUAGAGGAGCGUUCUGUAAGCCGUUGAAGGUGAACCGGGAGGUUUGCUGGAGGUAUCAGAAGUGCGAAUGCUGACAUGAGUAACGAUAAGGGGGGUGAAAAACCUCCCCGCCGGAAGAUCAAGGUUUCCUGCGCAACGCUAAUCGGCGCAGGGUGAGUCGGCCCCUAAGGCGAGGGCGAAAGCCGUAGUCGAUGGGAAACGGGUUAAUAUUCCCGUACUUCUUUAUAUUGCGAUGGAGGGACGGAGUAGGCUAGGUCAUCAGGGCGUUGGUUGUCCCUGUUUAAGGCUGUAGGCUGGUGGUUUAGGAAAAUCCGGACCGCUAAGGCUGAGAGCUGAUGACGAGCCCUUUCGAGAGAUUGGGUGAAGUGAUUGAUGCCAUGCUUCCAGGAAAAGCUUCUAAGCUUCAGAUAUAAAGGAACCGUACUGUAAACCGACACAGGUGAUCAGGUAGAGAAUACCAAGGCGCUUGAGAGAACUCGGGUGAAGGAACUAGGCAAAAUGGUACCGUAACUUCGGGAGAAGGUACGCCGGUUUUGGUGAUGGGACUUGCUCCCUGAGCUGAGGCUGGCCGAAGUGACCAGGUGGCUGCGACUGUUUAUUAAAAACAUAGCACUCUGCAAACACGAAAGUGGACGUAUAGGGUGUGACGCCUGCCCGGUGCCGGAAGGUUAAUUGAUGGGGUUAGACUUAGGUCGAAGCUCUUGAUCGAAGCCCCGGUAAACGGCGGCCGUAACUAUAACGGUCCUAAGGUAGCGAAAUUCCUUGUCGGGUAAGUUCCGACCUGCACGAAUGGCGUAACGAUGGCCACACUGUCUCCACCCGAGACUCAGUGAAAUUGAAAUCGCUGUUAAGAUGCAGUGUACCCGCGGCUAGACGGAAAGACCCCGUGAACCUUUACUACAGCUUUGCACUGGACUUUGACCUUACUUGUGUAGGAUAGCUGGGAGGCUUUGAAGCAGUGGCGCCAGCCAUUGUGGAGCCGACCUUGAAAUACCAGCCUGGUAAUGUUGAGGUUCUAACUCAGGCCCAUGAUCUGGGCCGAGGACAGUGUAUGGUGGGUAGUUUGACUGGGGCGGUCUCCUCCCAAAGAGUAACGGAGGAGCACGAAGGUGCGCUAAUCAUGGUCGGAAAUCAUGAGGUUAGUGUAAAGGCACAAGCGCGCUUGACUGCGAGUCUGACAAGACGAGCAGGUACGAAAGUAGGUCUUAGUGAUCCGGUGGUUCUGAAUGGAAGGGCCAUCGCUCAACGGAUAAAAGGUACUCCGGGGAUAACAGGCUGAUACCGCCCAAGAGUUCACAUCGACGGCGGUGUUUGGCACCUCGAUGUCGGCUCAUCACAUCCUGGGGCUGAAGCCGGUCCCAAGGGUAUGGCUGUUCGCCAUUUAAAGUGGUACGCGAGCUGGGUUUAGAACGUCGUGAGACAGUUCGGUCCCUAUCUGCCGUGGGCGUUGGAGAAUUGAGGGAAGCUGCUCCUAGUACGAGAGGACCGGAGUGGACGAACCUCUGGUGUUCGGGUUGUGUCGCCAGACGCAUUGCCCGGUAGCUAUGUUCGGACAGGAUAACCGCUGAAAGCAUCUAAGCGGGAAGCCCCUCCCAAGAUAAGUUCUCCCUGACCCCUUGAGGGUCCUAAAGGGCCGUUGAAGACUACAACGUUGAUAGGCUGGGUGUGGAAGCGCUGUAAGGCGUUGAGCUAACCAGUACUAAUUGCCCGUGAGGCUUGACCAUAUAAUCCA